UAAUGCAUCUCUUGUAUCUGCUUUGGUUGCUACAAGAAUCGCUUUGGUGGCUAUCAGUGUUGCACCUGAAUUUAUUAUACGUAGAAUACACAACCCUAAUCUUCCCUAAUCAUCAGUCUGGCUUAAUGAUUACGCUAAUUUAAAGUUUGAUCUUUAAGACUUUAUGUCAACUAUACGUAAAAUCCAGACUGCAUGAUCAUGUUUUUUAAUUAACGGCU
rnacentral:lncRNA from 1 species